ensembl:miRNA mir-247 miscRNA
AUUACCAGCUAUUUUCCAAGUAGAGAAAAGUUUCUAAUUACCCAUCAUGCACAAAUGUGGUGACUAGAGCCUAUUCUCUUCUUGGAAAAGUGGCGACU